rnacentral:rRNA from 1 species
GAUGAACGCUGGCGGCGUGCUUAACACAUGCAAGUCGAACGGUAAGGCCCUUCGGGGUACACGAGUGGCGAACGGGUGAGUAACACGUGGGUGAUCUGCCCUGCACUUCGGGAUAAGCCUGGGAAACUGGGUCUAAUACCGGAUAGGACCACUGCCUGCAUGGGUGGUGGUGGAAAGCUUUUGCGGUGUGGGAUGGGCCCGCGGCCUAUCAGCUUGUUGGUGGGGUGGUGGCCUACCAAGGCGACGACGGGUAGCCGGCCUGAGAGGGUGACCGGCCACACGGGGGCUGAGAUACAGCCCAGACUCCUACGGGAGGCAGCAGUGGGGAAUAUUGCACAAUGGGCGCAAGCCUGAUGCAGCGACGCCGCGUGAGGGAUGACGGCCUUCGGGUUGUAAACCUCUUUCAGCACCGACGAAGCGCAAGUGACGGUAGGUGCAGAAGAAGGACCGGCCAACUACGUGCCAGCAGCCGCGGUAA